rnacentral:rRNA from 1 species
CCUACGGGAGGCAGCAGUAGGGAAUAUUGCUCAAUGGGGGAAACCCUGAAGCAGCAACGCCGCGUGGAGGAUGAAGGUCUUCGGAUUGUAAACUCCUUUUGUUAGAGAAGAUAAUGACGGUAUCUAACGAAUAAGCACCGGCUAACUCCGUGCCAGCAUCCGCGGUAAUACGGAGGGUGCAAGCGUUACUCGGAAUCACUGGGCGUAAAGAGCGCGUAGGCGGGAUAGCAAGUCAGAUGUGAAAUCCUAUGGCUUAACCAUAGAACUGCAUUUGAAACUGUUAUUCUAGAGUAUGGGAGAGGUAGGUGGAAUGCUUGGUGUAGGGGUGAAAUGCGUAGAGAUCAAGAGGAACACUGAUUGCGAAGGCGACCUGCUAGAACAUAACUGACGCUGAUGCGCGAAAGCGUGGGGAGCAAACAGGAUUAGAUACCCUAGUAGUC